rnacentral:rRNA from 1 species
UGCCAGCAGCCGCGGUAAUACGGAGGGUGCAAGCGUUAUUCGGAUUCACUGGGUUUAAAGGGUGCGUAGGUGGGUUGGUAAGUCAGUGGUGAAAUCUCCGAGCUUAACUUGGAAACUGCCAUUGAUACUAUUAAUCUUGAAUACCGUGGAGGUCAGCGGAAUAUGUCAUGUAGCGGUGAAAUGCUUAGAUAUGACAUAGAACACCAAUUGCGAAGGCAGCUGGCUACACGAAUAUUGACACUGAGGCACGAAAGCGUGGGGAUCAAACAGGAUUAGAUACCCUGGUAGUCCACGCCCUAAACUAUGGAUACUCGACAUACGCGAUACACUGUGUGUGUUUGAGCGAAAGCAUUAAGUAUCCCACCUGGGAAGUACGAUCGCAAGAUUGAAACUCAAAUGAAUUGACGG